rnacentral:tRNA from 1 species
GCCUCGUUGGCCUAAUGGUAGGGUGUCUCUGCGCAAGAAGCGGGAGCUUGUGGGUUCGACCCCCACACGAGGUA